UACAGAGGGUGCAAGCGUUAAUCGGAAUUACUGGGCGUAAAGCGUGCGUAGACGGUUACAUAAGUCGGGUGUGAAAGCCCCGGGCUCAACCUGGGAAUUGCAUUCGAGACUGCGUAGCUAGGGUGCGGAAGAGGGAAGCGGAAUUUCCGGUGUAGCGGUGAAAUGCGUAGAUAUCGGAAGGAACACCAGUGGCGAAGGCGACUUUCUGGCUUAUAACUGACGCUGAGGCGCGAAAGCGUGGGGAGCAAACAGG
rnacentral:rRNA from 1 species